rnacentral:rRNA from 1 species
AGGACGAACGCUGGCGGCGUGCCUAACACAUGCAAGUCGAACGCGCUCCAUUCGGUAGCAAUACUGAUGAAGAGCGAGUGGCGAACGGGUGAGUAACACAUGAGCAACCUGCCCCGAAGACCGGGACAACACCGGGAAACCGGUGCUAAUACCGGAUAUCCCUAUCGGACCGCAUGAUCUGAUAAGGAAAUGGAUUCCGCUUCGGGAGGGGCUCGUGGCCUAUCAGCUAGUUGGUGAGGUAACGGCUCACCAAGGCAUCGACGGGUAGCUGGUCUGAGAGGACGAUCAGCCACACUGGGACUGAGACACGGCCCAGACUCCUACGGGAGGCAGCAGUGGGGAAUCUUGCGCAAUGGGCGAAAGCCUGACGCAGCAACGCCGCGUGGAGGACGAAGGCUUUCUGAGUUGUAAACUCCUUUCAGCAGGGACGAUAGUGACGGUACCUGCAGAAGAAGCACCGGCCAACUACGUGCCAGCAGCCGA